UGCAGUCGAGCGGUAGCACAGAGAGCUUGCUCUCGGGUGACGAGCGGCGGACGGGUGAGUAAUGUCUGGGAAACUGCCUGAUGGAGGGGGAUAACUACUGGAAACGGUAGCUAAUACCGCAUAACGUCGCAAGACCAAAGUGGGGGACCUUCGGGCCUCAUGCCAUCAGAUGUGCCCAGAUGGGAUUAGCUAGUAGGUGGGGUAACGGCUCACCUAGGCGACGAUCCCUAGCUGGUCUGAGAGGAUGACCAGCCACACUGGAACUGAGACACGGUCCAGACUCCUACGGGAGGCAGCAGUGGGGAAUAUUGCACAAUGGGCGCAAGCCUGAUGCAGCCAUGCCGCGUGUGUGAAGAAGGCCUUCGGGUUGUAAAGCACUUUCAGCGGGGAGGAAGGCGUUGAGGUUAAUAACCUUGUCGAUUGACGUUACCCGCAGAAGAAGCACCGGCUAACUCCGUGCCAGCAGCCGCGGUAAUACGGAGGGUGCAAGCGUUAAUCGGAAUUACUGGGCGUAAAGCGCACGCAGGCGGUCUGUCAAGUCGGAUGUGAAAUCCCCGGGCUCAACCUGGGAACUGCAUUCGAAACUGGCAGGCUAGAGUCUUGUAGAGGGGGGUAGAAUUCCAGGUGUAGCGGUGAAAUGCGUAGAGAUCUGGAGGAAUACCGGUGGCGAAGGCGGCCCCCUGGACAAAGACUGACGCUCAGGUGCGAAAGCGUGGGGAGCAAACAGGAUUAGAUACCCUGGUAGUCCACGCCGUAAACGAUGUCGAUUUGGAGGUUGUGCCCUUGAGGCGUGGCUUCCGGAGCUAACGCGUUAAAUCGACCGCCUGGGGAGUACGGCCGCAAGGUUAAAACUCAAAUGAAUUGACGGGGGCCCGCACAAGCGGUGGAGCAUGUGGUU
rnacentral:rRNA from 1 species